GGGCCAGUGCCGCAAAUGUUAGCGUGCCUGACUAUGGAUCAGGAGUUUCUAGGUUCGAAUCCUGGCUGGCUCG